AGAAACUGAAAGCAUACUCCUCACUCACUACAAGACUUUAAAGAAGACCUACUGAAGAGAUAAAUGAAGAAUUCAAGAGAAUUACUGCUCUUAGAAUUGAAUCAACCUUCAUGGCCAAACUUGACCAUUGCACCCCAAAACUGAUGGACGUAGCCUCAUCAAAGGGAGGAGCUACAGGAGUUAGAAUCAGGCAGAUCAAGGACAUGCUUCGUGAGAAUAGUACAGUUGAAGUGGAGAGAAGUAGCCAUCCGCUGCCUGGUUGUGUACCUUGGAGAGAAGGAGAAUGACCUCUUCAAAGAAUUUGC